rnacentral:rRNA from 1 species
AUGAACAAAUUAACUUCAUGUACUGCCGAGACAAGUUUGUAUAUCCUUUUACAAAUGAGAGUGAUUCUUCUACACCCACUCUCGGUGCACCCACGGUGCACCCACGCAAGAAAACAUAUCAAAACAUUUCGAAAAAAUUUGAAACUUCGUGGAAAUGAUCAUCAACAAAUGUUAUGGGGGCUUACAAAAUUUGGUGGUCAAAUAACAUCCGAGGAGCUCUCUACAAAAAAGACAAAAUCACUGAAAAUUAGUCAAAAUGUACGUGCACUGUUUGAGCAGAUUUUGCAAUUUUGUCUUUUUUGUAGGGCACUUCUCGAAUGUUAUUUGACCACCAAACUUUGCAAGCCCUCAUGA